UACGAAGGUGGCAAGCGUUGUUCGGAUUCACUGGGCGUACAGGGUGUGUAGGCGGUUUGGUAAGCCUUCUGUUAAAGCUUCGGGCCCAACCCGGAAAGCGCAGAGGGUACUGCCAGGCUAGGAGGACGGGAGAGGAGCGCGGAAUUCCCGGUGUAGCGGUGAAAUGCGUAGAUAUCGUUUGGAACGCCAACGGUGAAAACAGACAGCUGGGAGUGUGCUGACGCUGAGACACGAAAGCCAGGGGAGCGAACGGG
rnacentral:rRNA from 1 species